ACUCCUACGGGAGGCAGCAGUAGGGAAUCUUCCACAGUGGGCGCAAGCCUGAUGGAGCAACACCGCGUGAGUGAAGAAGGGUUUCGGCUCGUAAAGCUCUGUUGUUAAAGAAGAACACGUAUGAGAGUAACUGUUCAUACGUUGACGGUAUUUAACCAGAAAGUCACGGCUAACUACGUGCCAGCAGCCGCGGUAAUACGUAGGUGGCAAGCGUUAUCCGGAUUUAUUGGGCGUAAAGAGAGUGCAGGCGGUUUUCUAAGUCUGAUGUGAAAGCCUUCGGCUUAACCGGAGAAGUGCAUCGGAAACUGGAUAACUUGAGUGCAGAAGAGGGUAGUGGAACUCCAUGUGUAGCGGUGGAAUGCGUAGAUAUAUGGAAGAACACCAGUGGCGAAGGCGGCUACCUGGUCUGCAACUGACGCUGAGACUCGAAAGCAUGGGUAGCGAACAGGAUUAGAUACCCUGGUAGGAUAGCC
rnacentral:rRNA from 1 species